ACGGGAGGCAGCAGUGAGGAAUAUUGGUCAAUGGGCGGAAGCCUGAACCAGCCAUCUCGCGUGCAGGACUACGGCCCUACGGGUCUUAAACUGCUUUUAUGGGGGGAUAAAGUCGGGCAUUCGUGCCCGUUUGCAGGUACCCCAUGAAUAAGGAUCGGCUAACUCCGUGCCAGCAGCCGCGGUAAUACGGAGGAUCCGAGCGUUAUCCGGAUUUAUUGGGUUUAAAGGGAGCGUAGGCGGCCUUUUAAGUCAGCGGUCAAAUGUCAGCGCCCAACGCUGGCCUGCCGUUGAUACUGAUGGGCUUGAAUACACACAAGGAAGGUGGAAUUCGUCGUGUAGCGGUGAAAUGCUUAGAUAUGACGAAGAACUCCGAUUGCGAAGGCAGCCUUCUGGAGUGCGAUUGACGCUGAGGCUCGAAAGCGCGGGUAUCAAACAGGAUUAGAUACCCUGGUA
rnacentral:rRNA from 1 species